rnacentral:rRNA from 1 species
UACGGAGGGUGCGAGCGUUGUCCGGAAUCACUGGGCGUAAAGGGCGCGUAGGCGGCCUGAUAAGUAGGGGGUGAAAUCUUGCGGCUUAACCGCAAGGCUGCCUUCUAAACUGUCGGGCUAGAGCACAGUAGAGGCAGGUGGAAUUCCCGGUGUAGUGGUGGAAUGCGUAGAUAUCGGGAGGAACACCAGUGGCGAAGGCGGUUGCCUGGAGCUUUGCUGACGCUGAGGCGCGAAAGCGUGGGGAGCGAUCCGG